GGGCCGGUGGUCUAGUUGGCUAUGACGCCGUCCUGACACGGCGGAGGUCCCGUGUUCAAAUCACGGCCGGCCCACCA
rnacentral:tRNA from 1 species